rnacentral:rRNA from 1 species
GACGAAGGGGGCUAGCGUUGUUCGGAAUUACUGGGCGUAAAGCGCGUGUAGGCGGUUGCCCAAGUCGGGUGUGAAAGCCUUGAGCUCAACUCAAGAAAUGCACUCGGUACUGGGUGACUAGAGGACCGGAGAGGAUAGUGGAAAUCCCAGUGUAGUGGUGAAAUACGUAGAGAUUGGGAAGAACACCAGUGGCGAAGGCGGCUAUCUGGACGGUUUCUGACGCUAAGACGCGAAAGCGUGGGAGCAAACAGG